rnacentral:rRNA from 1 species
GACGAACGCUGGCGGCGUGCUUAACACAUGCAAGUCGAGCGGUAAGGCCCUUUCGGGGGUACACGAGCGGCGAACGGGUGAGUAACACGUGGGUGACCUGCCCUCAGCUCUGGGAUAAGCCUGGGAAACCGGGUCUAAUACCGGAUAUGACUCCAUGACGCAUGUUGUGGGGUGGAAAGCCUUGUGCGGCUGAGGAUGGGCCCGCGGCCUAUCAGCUUGUUGGUGGGGUGAUGGCCUACCAAGGCGACGACGGGUAGCCGGCCUGAGAGGGCGACCGGCCACACUGGGACUGAGACACGGCCCAGACUCCUACGGGAGGCAGCAGUGGGGAAUCUUGCGCAAUGGGCGAAAACCUGACGCAGCGACGCCGCGUGAGGGAUGACGG